GCAAAGGCGGCAGCUUACACAUGCAGUCGAACGCCCCGCAAGGGGAGUGGCAGACGGGUGAGUAACGCGUGGGAACAUACCCUUUCCUGCGGAAUAGCUCCGGGAAACUGGAAUUAAUACCGCAUACGCCCUACGGGGGAAAGAUUUAUCGGGGAAGGAUUGGCCCGCGUUGGAUUAGCUAGUUGGUGGGGUAAAGGCCUACCAAGGCGACGAUCCAUAGCUGGUCUGAGAGGAUGAUCAGCCACAUUGGGACUGAGACACGGCCCAAACUCCUACGGGAGGCAGCAGUGGGGAAUAUUGGACAAUGGGCGCAAGCCUGAUCCAGCCAUGCCGCGUGAGUGAUGAAGGCCUUAGGGUUGUAAAGCUCUUUCACCGGAGAAGAUAAUGACGGUAUCCGGAGAAGAAGCCCCGGCUAACUUCGUGCCAGCAGCCGCGGUAAUACGAAGGGGGCUAGCGUUGUUCGGAAUUACUGGGCGUAAAGCGCACGUAGGCGGAUAUUUAAGUCAGGGGUGAAAUCCCAGAGCUCAACUCUGGAACUGCCUUUGAUACUGGGUAUCUUGAGUAUGGAAGAGGUAAGUGGAAUUCCGAGUGUAGAGGUGAAAUUCGUAGAUAUUCGGAGGAACACCAGUGGCGAAGGCGGCUUACUGGUCCAUUACUGACGCUGAGGUGCGAAAGCGUGGGGAGCAAACAGGAUUAGAUACCCUGGUAGUCCACGCCGUAAACGAUGUCGACUUGGAGGUCGGGCAGUUGAGGCGUGGCUUCCGGAGCUAACGCGUUAAGUCGACCGCCUGGGGAGUACGGCCGCAAGGUUAAAACUCAAAUGAAUUGACGGGGGCCCGCACAAGCGGUGGAGCAUGUGGUUUAAUUAGAUGCAACGAGAAGAACCUUACCUACUCUCGACAUCCAGAGAACUUUCCAGAGAUGGAUUGGUCCGUUAGGGAACUCUCAGACAGGUUGUGCAUGGGCGUUGUUAACUUCGUGUCGUGAGAUGUUGGGUUAAGUCCCGCAAGGAGCGCAACCCUAGCCUUUAGUUGCCAGCGUUUAGUUGGGCACUCUAAGGGGACUGCCGGUGAUAAGCCGAGAGGAAGGGGGGGAGGACGUCAAGUCCUCAUGGCCCUUACGGGCUGGGCUACACACGUGUUACAAUGGUGGUGACAGUGGGCAGCGAGACAGCGAUGUCGAGCUAAUCUCCAAAAGCCAUCUCAGUUCGGAUUGCACUCUGCAACUCGAGUGCAUGAAGUUGGAAUCGCUAGUAAUCGCAGAUCAGCAUGCUGCGGUGAAUACGUUCCCGGGCCUUGUACACACCGCCCGUCACACCAUGGGAGUUGGUUUUACCCGAAGGUAGUGCGCUAACCGCAAGGAGGCAGCUAACCACGUAGUCGUUCA
rnacentral:rRNA from 1 species